rfam:Vigna angularis cultivar Jingnong 6 scaffold262_63, whole genome shotgun sequence.
AUUGAAUUUCAACUAUUGUGACUAGACAUCUAGGGGUAAAGCACUGUUUCGGUGGGGUCGUGAGAGCGGUACCAAAUCGAGGCAAACUCUAGAUACUAGAUAUGACCUCAAAAUAACAAGGGUCAAGGUUGACCAGUAAGACAAUGUGGGAUAAGGUUCAUCGUCGAGAGGGAAACAACCCGGAUCACCAGCUAGGGCCCCUAAAUGACCGCUCAGUGAUAAAGGAGGUAGGGGUGUAAAGACAACCAGAAAGUUUGCCUACAAGCAGCCACCCUUGAAAGAGUGCGUAAUAUAAAUUAAUUCAAAUUGAACCAUAAUUCACAUAUAUGAUUGUAUACCUAGGGCGAAAAGCUAAAAUAGGAAUAUGCUA